ACGGCGAGUGAAGCGGCAACAGCUCAAAUUUGAAAUCUGGCCUCUUUGGGGUCCGAGUUGUAAUUUGUAGAGGAUGUUUCGGGUACCGCCUCGGUUUAAAUUUCUUGGAACAGAAUGUCAGAGAGGGUGAGAAUCCCGUCUUGGACCGGCGGUAGGGCCCAUGUGAAACUCCUUCGACGAGUCGAGUUGUUUGGGAAUGCAGCUCAAAAUGGGUGGUAAAUUUCAUCUAAAGCUAAAUAUUGGCCAGAGACCGAUAGCGCACAAGUAGAGUGAUCGAAAGAUGAAAAGCACUUUGAAAAGAGAGUUAAACAGUAUGUGAAAUUGUUGAAAGGGAAGCGCUCACAACCAGACUUGAGCGCGGCGGUUCCCCCUUCCUUUUGGUUGGGUUACUCCGUCGUGUCCAGGCCAACAUCGGUUCUGGGGGUCGGUUAAAGACCCUGGGAAUGUACCUACCCUUCGGGCGUAGACUUAUAGCCCAGGGUGUCAUGCGGCCUCCCGGGACCGAGGAACGCGCUUCGGCUCGGAUGUUGGCGUAAUGGUUGUCAGCGACCCGUCUUGAAACACGGACCAAGGAGUCUAACAUCUAUGCGAGUGUUUGGGUGUCAAACCCGGAACGCGGAAUGAAAGUGAACGGAGGUGGGAAGCCGUGAGGCUGCACCAUCGACCGAUCCUGAUGUCUUCGGAUGGAUUUGAGUAAGAGCAUAGCUGUUGGGACCCGAAAGAUGGUGAACUAUGCCUGAAUAGGGUGAAGCCAGAGGAAACUCUGGUGGAGGCUCGCAGCGGUUCUGACGUGCAAAUCGAUCGUCAAAUUUG
rnacentral:rRNA from 1 species